rnacentral:misc_RNA from 1 species
CAGAAGCGGAAGCGUCAGA